GCGGGCGUGGCGGAAUGGUAGACGCAACGGACUUAAAAUCCGUUUUCCGCAAGGAAGUGUGGGUUCGAGUCCCACCGCCCGCACCA
rnacentral:tRNA from 1 species